GCAGGUAGUCAUUUAUUCUGUAAUCCGAAUCAGCAUAAACACACCAUAAAGUCCAAGUGUGUAAUGAAUUACAUCUCAGAUUCACUGAGAAAAGAAGCUUAAGAUAUAACGAGGUAAGAACAGCUUGUAUGUGUUACGGGGGGGGCGGGGUGAGCAGAUGUAGGUUGGCUGAUCUUCAGUCUCUGGAUUUAUAGAUGCGUUAUAAAACACUUCCACAGGAAAACCUUCUACGAUGAUAUCUCCAGUGGCCAAUAAUUAGACUGUGGGCUACAUGGACGGCCUUGAAGAUGGAGCAUCUUGUAUCAACCUGGUGAACAUUUUCUUUUACCGGACUCGCGGAGUUCUGUUCCUUUUGUCUCUUUGGCGCUUCUCUGCAGACUUCCCAAGGAGCCACUGGCUUAGUACCCUGCCCACCAGACUCAUGGACUCAUGACAAGAGAGCGCAGCAGGAUCCUGGGAUGCUGGGUGCCCGAGGGAGGGUGACCCACACCCCGGAAGUUAGGCAGCAGCAUGGCACAGCUGUGCCUGAGAGCCCAGAGCCUUAUGCCUGCUUCCUGCUGGCGGCCCUUAACCUCCUCUGGCUAAGAAGGAUGUCCACUCACUAGUGACCAGCCAGUGUGCACCUCUGGGAGGGUGGGAUGUGGGGACUGGAUUCGCCCACAUCAGCAAAUCUUCUCCAGAAAAGAAAGAGCCUCUGUUCCCUCCCCACCCGGAGACCAAGACUGCUGGCCUUAUUUCUUCAUCUGUGAAAUAAGAAGCGUCUUACCUACUGUGGAAGGUGGUUGGAAGGAUGAAAUGAGCAAAGGGAUGCAAAGUGCUGAGCCCAGGUUUCGGCGAUGGUAGUUGCUGGCAUCUAUUUCAAAGGAGGGUGGGGAUUCACCGCACAGAGCAGCGAGAGAGCGCCGGGUGGCAUUUCGGGAGAAAUCCCGGUGUGCCUGGUACAGGGAGAGUGGCUGAUGUUUCAUGAGCUCAGUGACCAGAACCAUGCGGUCAGGUCAUUCCCUAGACGCUCCCCCACGGACAGCUGGGUCUGCUCGCACCAGCAGGGCCAGACUCCACUCCACGCUGAGGCUGAGCCCCCCUUUAGCACAGCCUUCUUUAUGAUGAGAAAGCCAUAAGACAGAGCCUGUGAGAGCAUGCAGAAGCCCUAAGUUACACAAUUAUUUCAGGUCAUCAAUGUCAAAGUUAAGGUGAGAAACUUGUGUGCCUUUAGCAAGGACCGGACUUAAUUGAUUCUCUACCUAGUCCUUGGCGUGGCCAGCAAAGCCCAGCUUUAAUUACACUGGCCACGUCCCCAGGGUGGAAACCUCCCUUUUAGGUUGACACGCCUCGGAAAGCAAUCCUCUGUGGUUCCAUUUUGUCUCUCUGAAGCCUGACACCGAUGUGGGUCAUCUUGCAGCAUCUGAAAAAAGUGCCACAGCCAACACAUUGGCUGCAAAGGCAAGAAGGAGUCACCUCAUCUUAGCAGAUCUGAAUUCCACUAACAUAGAAGGUUAAAGACCGUUGCCCUCUUGGAGCUCCCGCUGUGGCACAGUGGGUUAAGGAUCCAGGAUUGCCGUGGUUGUGGCAUAGGUGUCAGCUGUGGCUGGGAUUUGAUCCCUGGCCUGGAAACUUCCAUAUGCCACAGGUGUGGCCAAAAAAGACCAAACAAACAAACAAAGACUACUGCCCUCUCUGCAGAAUCUACAGAUGAAAUGCCAUUUCCAUGACGGGGCCUUAGAGUGGGAUGAUUCCAUAGAUCAAAGUGGACCCAUGAAAACAACUGCAAGGAAAGCCACCUCCUAAAUGGGUCCACUUCAAGAGCAUAACCUGCAAGGAGCGGAGUUGCCAGAAAGGAGCAUCCUGGCCAAUACGGAUGCAGCAUGAAGGGAGCCGACAAGCUCCUCCCACCAGUGAUGCUCCACCCCUUCCCUCCACUCCCAGCCACCUUGGCUUUUCCUGCACCUGUUCUGCUCCCCCAAACUUUGACACUCCACGAGGGUGGUGCCGAGAGCUCUGCUGCCCACCGCUAUGUCCACAUGCUGGACCCUGCCCGGUGUUUGACGCACAUGCUGGCCGGCUGGCUGGGGACCAUUAUCUGAAAUUAACUUUAAGGUUAUGACCCAAGAAAGAGUGUGCAGGGAACAAGAAGAAAAAGAGAAGUGAUUAUGAAGAUCUGCAGGGGGGAGGUGAGGGGGGAGGAGGCAGAAAGAAACUCCCCACUCCCCAUGCCUUCCCGUCCAGCUCCUGCUCGGCUCCCAACACUGGGUCAGCAGAGUAACCAUUACUUCCGGCUCUCGCGUCCCACGACAAAGUCCCGCGAGAUCUCACAAUGCGGCAGCUCCCCACGUGGCCCUCGAGGCUGGACCCUCUGGGCUGCACGGGCACGUGGCUGAGCCUUGUCGCUGGCCAGAAGUAGACAGCUUGAGUCAGGGGCUACUGCAGGCAGAUGAGAUUAGCCUCCUUGGCCUGAGGUCAAGUCUGAAACAGCAAACUCCCCUCCUACUGUCUUUGCGAGUCUCCACUGGCUGUGCCCACUGGGUGGAACUGGCCCAGGCUGGGCAGAUUAGCCAUGUAUACCCUCCAUGCGGGGGGGGGGGGGGGGGGAGAGACAGAGUCUCUAUUGUUAUUUGCUAAAGUCUCGGGUACAUGUUAAGAUGCUUUCUGUGCAUGGGUUCCCAGCCAAUUAUAAAGGAGACAGCCACCCACAGGGCACUGGGAGUGGCCGUGAAGGCUCAAGAAAUAACCUCUUUCGGCUGAAGGUCACCCCUGGAACUAUGGCACUGGAGGCACCACGGGCUGUUUCUACCCUGACAGGGGCCAUGGCACUGUGAGAAGACCCUGUGGCCCUACACACAGCAGGGCUAAGAGCACGAACAUCCACACGCAAAAUUCCACUCCGGAACCCGCACAGCAGGGAGCCGUAGAGACCCUUUAAAGAUCUAGCCCAGUCCCCUCUCCCAAGGAACCGUGUCCUCACUCUCCCAAAUGCAUCAGUUACCCAAGGAAGAGACCACUUUACAGGUGCUGGAUCUCCAGCCAAGAUUCGCCCACCCCACCCCGCCUCCACCUUGCCCUCUGACUAUGGGCAGCAUCCGUGGUCCUCGAGUGGGCUUCUUUUCCUCUCCAUCCAGGCAAAGGGCAGCCAGUGUGUCAUUUCUGGUUUUGAAACAGGUUCAUGUAUAACGGUUUUCUCAUUCACACUUUCUCCCCCUCCUUCUGGUACUUUUUUCAUCAUGGGAGUGCACCCCUUGUGGUCCCUUAGAGAUGUCGCAGGGGCCCCAUCAAGCUUGGGUCCAGUCCUCCUGUUUUUCAUGAGAUUCCCAAAGUGGCCCUGACUGUUACAAGUGAGAACAUGGACUUUGCUGUCUCUGGGAUAUCUUGAAACUGAGGUCCCAUCCCUCACUCCCUGGCUUGAAGCUGCAGCCCUGUGCUGUAACCCUCCUUCACGGACCACCCAGUGGGGGCGCAGAGCAAGAGUCAGCAAACCAUAGUCCUGGGGCCAGAUCCCCUCACUGCCUGUUUUUCAGUGACAAUACUGGAUCCUUAACCUGCUGAGCCAUCAGGAAACUCCCAUGUUUGAGGGUUGUUUUUUUUUAAAUCCAAAAGAUAAUAUUUUGUGACACAUGAAAAGUACAUGAAGGUCAAACUUGUGUCUGAAAUAAAAUAUUAUCUAUACCAUGCCCAUUCAUUGACAUAUCCAGGGCUGGUUUCUCACUCCAGAAGCAGAGCUGAGGAGCUGCCACAGAGCCAGCUGCAAACAUUUCCCAUCUGGCUGUUUGCAGAAAAAAUGUGCCGACUCCUGGUCAGGAUGGGGCCUUGUUCUACUUCUGCUUCCUGCUUCUACCCAGCUUUGCUGCUGUCUUUUCUAUAUACAGAGAUUGUAAGGAAGAUACAUCUUUAAAAUGUUGGUAGGGUAAAACUCACUCUGCUUCGCUUGGUACAAAGACCUGAGACCUACCUGCUCUAAGACACACCUGGCGCAACCAGAUGGCCCCUCUGCCACACCCUGCUUUCCGGAGAAACAGAAGUGCGGGCCGUCUGGCAAAAUGCGUGGUUCCCUCGAGCCUUUGCACCUGUUGCUCUCGCAUCAGAAACCCCUCUCUGACUGCCUGGGGAAUUCUUAUCCUUCCCUAAGACUAUUUCAAGUCUUACCUCUUUCGUAACACUUUCUCAACUCCCCAGUAAUGUGAUCUUCCCCCCCCUCCCAUUCCCUGCUUGGACAGGACCUCAGCCCCUAUCAUUCGGCUUCUUAAACCCCAGAUUGCAUGACCAGGCAGCCGGCCCUGCAUUCUCCCCACCUGGAGCCACUGUCACUGGACUGUGUCUUCCACAAGGGCAUUUUUUUCUCUUGGGGUCACAUUCACACUAUUUUGCUCCAGGGCUUGUGCACAGUUGGUGCUGGGUAAAGGCUGACUGUCAGAGGGCAGAACUGUGGUUCUGCUGCCCUCCAGCCCUAAUCCUCCAGAUUCCGCCCCGGCACUGCCAGUCAGGUUUCUGGGCAGUAAGAGCAGGAAGAUGGGACAAGGGCCCCACGCCUCUAGGAGGCAUAGCUGAAGCAGCAGAGAGGUUUAGGAGGUAGUUUGUGGUCUCAAUUCCCAAUCUACAUGACCUUUGAGCCUCAGUGUCUCUAACUGAAAAAUGGGUUGUUAUUAUCCCCAACCUGGCAGAUUUGGGAGGAUAAAAUGAAGGGGGAAACAAAAUGCCUGGCACAUAGCAGGUGCUCAAGAAUGCCAGCAGGUCACCAUGAACCUCUGCCUUGGCAACAGCUGUGCGUGUCUUUGGAGCAAGGCACCUAUUCCUCAAAGCCAAGUGUCUCCAAGUCUAUAACCUAAGAGAAGCCUGCUUUGCCCAGAAUCGGAGAAUAGUCCCCAAAGGAACCCAGUCCCUUGGAGUCCCCGGGCCGGAGGCAGAGGGCACCGAAAGGAGAGGCCAAGUGGGAGCACAUCCUGGUGUUUCUGGAACCUUACAGCAUCAGCAUCGUGGUUACAGAAGUGUCUGGGAGGUCGGGGCAUGGGGGGCGGGGGAGGCAGCUCUGGCAGACAACUUGGAGUCGGCUUGUGCUCAGAGAUGCUCAAUGAGAUGCCUCAGCGCAUUGUCUCAGCUACACCGGCUGCUGUUUCCCACACGCCUGUGCACUGCUGCGGCCACACUGAGUCAGUGCCAGCCCAGCACCUCCAGCGCCUCAAAGGAAGCCCAGGGGAAGGCUACAGUGAUUUCCCGGCCUUCCUGAAGGGCCGUCGUGGGGCCUGGCACAGGGGAAAACAUCACGGUUCUAGGCUUGCUUCCCUCGGGGAAUGGAUUCUCCUCUCCGAGCUCUCACCAUUCUUAAUAACAGCAACCAGAACAACAGGAGCUGAAGCCCUGGUCAGCGGUCAUGGACAGAAACUGUGCAAACUGCAGCAGCACCAUUUCCAAGGGGUCAUCCUCCCUACAACCCCGUGACGGGGGGACCAGGGUCUCCAGUGUACAGACGAGGAAGCCGAGGACCUGAACCAGGCAAAGGGACCAAGUCAAGAAUCUCACAUCUGCAACUGCUGUUCCCUGCAGCCCAUCUUCUCAGCCACAGGUCCUCGCUCCUCAGGAUAACGGAGGUGUUGGCCACUCCAAAGAUGCUGAGACAGAGGGAGAGGCCGUCUUAAGACAGAUCAGUGAUCUGAUGAGAACUCUAGACGUCUGAAUAGCAUUUCGGUGAGAAAAUGUGGCAAGACGGGGGACAGGGGACAUGGGUGGGUGAGGAUGUUUACGGAACAGCAACGUCCCCGUCCUCUCUCUCAGUGCUCCUCUAGGAGACCCCUUGCUUCUGGCUCCACCGGGAUGCUCCCUAAAAGGGCAAAUCCUGAGCCGGGCCCCUGUCCCAAAGACUCGUAAUUCUCAAGUCCCGGAAAACGGACCUCAGGACACGAAAGCUUGCAAACUGUAAUAGAUACUUGCGUGUUCCCUGGGUCUCCCAUUGCCUCUCCACUGGUCCACUGCCUUGUAUGGGCCUCCAUCCCAGACUCUUAGGCCUUCCCAGCGCCUUUACCCAUGAUGCCUGGGACGCCACUUGCCAGUAAAAACAACUUCGUGCUGGUUUUUUCAGGAUCUGAACCAAGUCAAGAACCAGGACUCCGUCGAGUACAUGCCGAGGCCUCUGAAAUGCAUGCCGGGUCCUUCUUAGCUCCGAGCGGUGGUGUGCUGGCCAACCUUCAACAACCAGCUCACCAGAGGAAAGCCCGCUGUUUGUUGAUUCCUGUGGUGUAAAUAGGCUCCUUACGGCUGAUUUUAAGCCACCAAGGUGACAUCCCUAAGUGCAGAGUUGGGAAGAGUGCACGUUAUCACACUCUUGGAGUAUUUCUACCAAAGAUGCAACACAGAGAAAGAAGCUCAAAUGGGAGUUCCCGUCGUGGCGCAGUGGUUAACGAAUCCGACUAGGAACCAUGAGGUUGCGGGUUCGGUCCCUGCCCUUGCUCAGUGGGUUAACAAUCCAGCGUUGCCGUGAGCUGUGGUGUAGGUUGCAGACGCGGCUCGGAUCCCGCGUUGCUGUGGCUCUGGUGUAGGCUGGUGGCUCCAGCUCCGAUUCAACCCCUAGCCUGGGAACCUCCAUAUGCCGCGGGAGCGGCCCAAGAAAUAGCAACAACAAUAACAACGAAAAAGACCAAAAAAAAAAAAAAAAAA
rnacentral:lncRNA from 1 species